CUCGCUGGCAAAUUUGUUGGUAAGGUGAAAGUGAAUGGAUAUUCAUAUCGGCCAGGAGCCACAGUUGCUGAAAAUAAUAUGUCAAGAAAUACUAAGCGUCAUCAACAGCAAUAACGGACAACGGUUUUGUGAAAGCACAGUCGGAUAAUCUUCCAAAAAUAGAUACAUUCAUGAUAACCACAUAUUUUGCGUCAAACCCGGAUUUUACAUCUGCUGAGGUUAAGGGAGUAGAAGCUGCAAGAUAAUGAGAUAUCCGAGUUGAAAGUUGGAAUGUUUGGAAUCAAGAGGAAUGAAGACUGGGAAAACCGGAUGGGUUGGUG